CUCCAAGCAGCCUGGCCAGUGUCAGCUGGCAGCCGCAGACCCACUGGAAACUAUCUUCCAGCUGCCCGUGUUCGGUGCAGAAGCAUCCGAUGCUCUUUACCUCAAGGAAACCAACUGUUCUCUGUGCUCUGUCCUCUGAUCCCACCUGCACGGGAGGAGCCUCACUGUCAUUCAGUUACCUCAAACAAGUUUCUUCCUAGAUGAGACUAUUCCAUUAAAGAAAUGUUCACGUUUUAAAUACAUAUUCACCUGAUCCUCUGUCAGAGAAAGCUGACAUUUGAGACACACACGAAGCAUCAG